ensembl:lncRNA LINC00575 long intergenic non-protein coding RNA 575
ACAAGAAAAGGAGAUUAGGGUACAGAUACACACACAGGGAAGAAUGCAUGAAGUCCCUGGGAUAAGGCAGCCAUUUACAAGCCAAGGGAAAGGCCUCAGAAGAAACCAGUCUUGCCGACAGCAUGAUCUCUCAUCCUCAGAACUGGGAGGAAAUACAUCUGUGUUGUUUCAGCCACUCAGUUGGUGAUCUCUAUUACAGCAGUCCUUAGCAAACCGAUUUAGACAGGAUAUUACAGAACUGCAUGUCAUCAGAUCGCACUGUUUCUCUCUUUGGAUGAUGAUAUUCAGGGCUUUGGAUGCCAACCAGAAGAAGCUGUAGGAAUUGGCACAGAUCCAGAGCAUGGACAAGGACUUACACUUCUGCUGAAGGCAAAGGAGAAACAGCAUUAUCUAAAAAGCAACCAAGACUUCAGGGGAUGAGAACCCACUAACUAUUACAGUCCACGUGUCAGUCGCGUUUCUCAUCGUGAUUAACACCCCAGCCAUUGAUUUGCUCUUCAGUGUCUAGUGAGCAAGGCUACUGUGAAUCUUUCCUCAGGAGGACUGAUGGAGUCACAUUUCUGAGCCUACAGAGCUGAGGGCAAGACCUGAGAAUGGUGAUGUCAAAAUGCCAACCAGCGAGACCUCUUGGUGGCCAGGUGCUUGCUUGUGCUCCUCCUGUGCUUGGACAUCAGACUCCAGGUUCUUCAACCUUUGGACUCUGGGACUUGCACCAGCGGCUUCCCAAGGGUUCUCAGGCCUUAAGCCACAGACUGACGACUGUACUGUCAGCUUCCCUGGUUUUGAGGCUUUUGGACUUGGACUGAGCCACUACUGGCAUCUCUCUUUCCCAGCUUGCAGACAGUCUAUCAUGGGACUUUGCCUUGUAAUUGUGCUAGCCAAUUCUUCCUAAUAAACUUCCUUUUAUAUA